GACGAACGCUGGCGGCGUGCUUAACACAUGCAAGUCGAACGGAAAGGCCCUGCUUUUGUGGGGUGCUCGAGUGGCGAACGGGUGCGUAACACGAGUGUCCCCUGCCCGAGACUUUGGUAAGCCUUGAGGACUCUGGGGAUAAUACCGGACAGGAGCCCCUGCCGCAUGGUGGGGGUUGGAAAGUUUCGGCGGUUGGGGAUGGACUCGCGGCUUAUCAGCUUGUUGGUGGGGUAGUGGCUUACCAAGGCGUCGACGGGUAGCCGGCCUGAGAGGGUGACCGGCCACACUGGGACUGAGACACGGCCCAGACUCCUACGGGAGGCAGCAGUGGGGAAUAUUGCACAAUGGGCGGAAGCCUGAUGCAGCGACGCCGCGUGCGGGAUGACGGCCUUCGGGUUGUAAACCGCUUUCGGCAGGGACGAAGCGAGAGUGACGGUAAUGGGUGAAGAAGCACCGGCUAACUACGUG
rnacentral:rRNA from 1 species